rnacentral:rRNA from 1 species
GACGAACGCUGGCGGCGUGCUUAACACAUGCAAGUCGAACGAUGAUCCGGGUGCUUGCACUUGGGGAUUAGUGGCGAACGGGUGAGUAACACGUGAGUAACCUGCCCUGGACUCUGGGAU